UACGGGGGGGGCAAGCGUUGUUCGGAAUUACUGGGCGUAAAGGGCUCGUAGGCGGCCAACUAAGUCAGACGUGAAAUCCCCAGGCUCAACCUGGGAACUGCGUCCGAUACUGGCAGGCUUGAAUCCGGGAGAGGGAUGUGGAAUUCCAGGUGUAGCGGUGAAAUGCGUAGAUAUCUGGAGGAACACCGGUGGCGAAGGCGGCAUCCUGGACCGGUAUUGACGCUGAGGCGCGAAAGCCAGGGGAGCAAACGGG
rnacentral:rRNA from 1 species